rnacentral:tRNA from 1 species
GUAGCUAAGUGACUAAACGACACUGGCAGUGUUGAGGUCGGCGGUUCGAUCCCGCCUGGCUCCACCA